CCUACGGGAGGCAGCAGUGGGGAAUAUUGCACAAUGGGGGAAACCCUGAUGCAGCGACGCCGCGUGAGUGAAGAAGUAAUUCGUUAUGUAAAGCUCUAUCAGCAGGGAAGAAAAUGACGGUAGCUAAGGAGCAAGCCACGGCUAACUACGUGCCAGCAGCCGCGGUAAUACGUAGGUGGCAAGCGUUGUCCGGAAUUACUGGGUGUAAAGGGAGCGCAGGCGGGAAGCCAAGUCAGCUGUGAAAACUACGGGCUUAACUUGUAGACUGCAGUUGAAACUGGUUUUCUUGAGUGAAGUAGAGGUUG
rnacentral:rRNA from 1 species